rnacentral:rRNA from 1 species
AUUGAACGCUGGCGGCAGGCUUAACACAUGCAAGUCGAGCGGGGGAAGGUAGCUUGCUACCGGACCUAGCGGCGGACGGGUGAGUAAUGCUUAGGAAUCUGCCUAUUAGUUGGGGACAACAUCUCGAAAGGGAUGCUAAUACCGCAUACGUCCUACGGGAGAAAGCAGGGGAUCUUCGGACCUUGCGCUAAUAGAUGAGCCUAAGUCGGAUUAGCUAGCUGGUGGGGUAAAGGCCUACCAAGGCGACGAUCUGUAGCGGGUCUGAGAGGAUGAACCGCCACACUGGGACUGAGAAACAGACCAGAAUCCUACGGGAGGCAGCAGUGGGGAAUAUUGGACAAUGGGGGGAACCCUGAUCCAGCCAUGCCGCGUGUGUGAAGAAGGCCUUAUGGUUGUAAAGCACUUUAAGCGAGGAGGAGGCUACUCUAGUUAAUACCUAGGGAUAGUGGACGUUACUCGCAGAAUAAGCACCGGCUAACUCUGUGCCAGCCGCCGCGGUAA